GCUGGGCAAGGUGGCGGGUGCCUGUAAUCCCAGCUACUCGGGAGGCUGAGGCAGGAGAAUCACUUGAACCCAGGGAGCAGAGGUUGCAGUGAGCCGAGAUCAUGCCACUGCAUUCCAGCCUGGGCAACAAAGUGAGACUUUGUCUCAA
rnacentral:SRP_RNA from 1 species